GACGAACCACACAAACGUUAUUCGGAAUCACUGGGCUUAAAGGGUGCGUAGGCGGCGCGGUAAGUUGGGUGUGAAAUGCCUCGGCUUAACCGAGGAACUGCGCUCAAAACUACCGUGCUUGAGGGAGAUAGAGGUGAGCGGAACUUAGGGUGGAGCGGUGAAAUGCGUUGAUAUCCUAAGGAACACCCGUGGCGAAAGCGGCUCACUGGAUCUCUUCUGACGCUGAGGCACGAAAGCUAGGGUAGCGAACGGG
rnacentral:rRNA from 1 species